GCCCCGAUGGCUCAACCUGGUAGAGCGCCUGUCUCGUAAACAGGAGAUUGAGGGUUCAAAUCCCUCUCGGGGCU
rnacentral:tRNA from 1 species